GUGCUCGCUUCGGCAGCACAUGUAAUAAAACUGGAACGACACAGAAGAUUAGCAUGGCCCUGGGAAAUGGAUGACACGCCAGUUUGUGAAGCGUUCCAUACUUAA